rnacentral:lncRNA from 1 species
AUGAGAAACAGCAGAUCAACAGAGGACAGAGGAGAUCCUUCAUCUCCCUGAGGCUACUAGAAGGUUACCUCUGAUUCUCAACCAGGCAGCUGUUCUGUGGCAAGCCCAUGCCAGACCACUGCACCAUGGCUUGAUUCCUAAGGAUGGCAGGAUCGUUCUCACUGCCAGAGCUGCCCAUGCCCGGAAAAAAGCUGUGAAAUAUUCUUCUCUGCCAUCAUUUCUAGAGCUGCCUGGGCUUCCCCCUGUGGGUGAGUUUGGCCCAUUCCCUAAUUUACCACAAUGCAAGUGGUUUGCCGUUUUGGGCUCCCCGUCUCAUCAACAGGAUCAUAUUAGUACCUGUACAACUGAAUCGUUCCACGCACACUCUGCUUUUGUAGAGGUUUUCUUUCAUUGAUUACGGAACACAGCCACUAGAAAGUGAAUGAAGCCUUUUUACAAAUAGUUGGAUAAUUAUAAGAAUGAAGCCCUGUGUCAUUACUACCUCGCCAGUAAGAAGACUCUGGCCAGCAGCCCGUGUGCCCCACCCCACCUUCCUCCUCCGGCUGCCCUCGAGCGGCCUGCCACAUGGCAGCCUUGUUUUCUUCUUAGUUUUCCCACUCACAAAUGAACUGUUUUGAACUUUUAUUGGAAUGGAUUCAUAUUUUUGUGCCUGGAUUUUGGAGUCAGUACACGUUUCUCAGAUUUAUCCACAUAGCUCAAUCCUCUUCAUUAAUGCCUAGCAGCAGAGCAUUGCGUGAACAGCCUUUGAUUGUGCAUUAAGUGCCAUGCAGACGCCCAGGCUGCACACAGCUACUGGCAGCCACAGCAAUCCUGGGCUCAGAGCACACACUUCUCAAAGCGUGCAAUGCAGACUGAGUUUGACUUGUCAGGGGACGGCCUCACCCUGCGCGGAUAAUGUAAAAACAAAAAGAUGAUUACAGUGCUUUUACUGUGCACGACAGCUAUCUUUGGCCAUUCCCAGUAGUUCCUGGCCUCUCAAUGUCUGAUAUUUUCUGUUUGGAGUUGUCAAUCUAGAAGGUAAGAAAAGCAUUUUGGCUUUUUUAUUUACAGAUGCCAAAUUAAUAAUAAGGAUGAGAACUUAUUUAUGUUUUUAGUGGUCAUUUGGAAUUUCUUUUUUAAGAAGAAAGAACUUGAAUCUUUAUUGAAUUAUCUCUGUUCGGGCUGUUGUUUAUUUGGAAGAGUUCUUCGUAUCUCCUGGAAAUAAGCCUUUCACUGCUUAUACAUAUUUCAUGUAUCUGCUCCCAACUGAUAGCUCCUCUUCUCAAGUUCUUUACAGUACCUUCUCAAGGGGCUGUUUUAAAAAAUGUAGUGAGAUAUGUAGUGUUUUCCUUAGAGUCGAUGUUUUUUCAAUUUUAGGGCGUGCUUACUUUCACUCUUUAAAAUAUUUUAUAUAACUCUAAGGUUUAUAGUUUAUUCUCUUCCAUUGGGAUGCUAACUAACUGGAAUUAUUUUGCAUAUGGGGUAAGAUACAUUUAUAAUUUUUCCUUAUCUUUUUUUUAAUACAGGUUAAGAAUCCCUUAUUCAAAGUGCUUGGAACCAGGAGUGUUUCAGAGCUCAGUUUCUCCAUUUUUGGAGUAUCUGAGGAGACAUCCUGGGGAUGUGACAAAGUCUCAGCCCAAAGUCAUCUAUGUUUCAUAGACUGUGUUAAUGGCCUGGGGGUAAUUUUUUGCAUGUCUGUGUCUGGACUGUGACCCUUUGCGUGAGGUCAGGAGUGGGAUUUUCACCUGUGGCAUUGUGUGCUCAGAAAGUUUUGCAUUUUGGAGCAUUUCUGAUUCGUGUUUGUAGAUUAUGGCUGCUGAUCUGCAUGUGGGCCCCCCUGUGCUAGCAAUACUCAUCAAACAGCCACUGAGCUGCCCUGUUGUCUGUGUGUAGAGCAAACCUCAGGUUAAACACAUGAGUCUGUUUCUGAAGUGGUUCUGAUCCACUAGUCCACCAGCCUAUUUUGAAGCACAGUUCAUUCUACCUCAACAGUAAGUCUUGAUACCUGCUAGGGACCAUCCUCUCAUUGGUGACUGUUCUUAUUUCUCAUUCAUCCCUUUAAAUUCUGUAGACAUUUUAGAAUCAUUUUGUUGGGUUCUAAAAAAAAUACUGGAAUCUGGGCGUGGUAUUGCACACCUGUAAUUCAGAGCUCAGGAGGCUGAGGCAGAAGGAUUGCUGUGAGUUUAAGGACAGCCUGGAGUACAUAGCAAGACCCUUUCUUAAAAAAUGUAAAAUAACAACAACAGCAAUACAUUUUUUAAAUUUGGAAUUUCACUGGGG